UUUGUGCUGAACAAUAGUGUCCUCAGAAUACCAGAUAUGUGCCAAACCAAAAUGAAGAAGACACUGACAUGGUUCAAGCUAGGUAUAGCGAAACAGUUGUAAUAGGAGAACAGCAGUCACUUCAGCAAUCUCUGGACAUAUAAGACAAGUUCUUAAAGAAUGUGCCUGCAUCACUCUCCUGUUUUCUUUUCACAGAGCUGAUGAUGGUCAUCAACCUUUGAACCUCACAGUGCCUAUUCCUUCAAGUUCCAACCAACUCAACCUUUACCGAGUAGUAAUCAUAUUCC
rnacentral:lncRNA from 1 species